UGGGGAUUUGGAUAUGACUGAAGGCACUGGCAUCACUGUUCGUAGGAAAUCACCUUUGCUAGCAGUGGCCACUCCUUACUCUAGAAAUUAGGAAAGCAGUACUAAAUCAAAGGUAGUCAAUAUGUUAAAGAUAUCAUAAAGGAAACAAGAUCAAAUGCAGCAAGGACAAUGCUAAAUCAAAGGAUGUCAAGGCCAUAAAAAAGGAAACAAGAUCAAGCGCAAUCGCUAUAGAAAGACAGUCCCUACUUCAAGGAUUGAUUUGGAAUCUGGAGAUUCAGAAGAUUGAUCAAUCAAGUCAAGCCACAAAUCACUCCCCUGAUUAUGAAUACGAAAAGGAAGGACGUAAAUGAAUCCAGCCCAUCUCUUGAGCAGGAUUCGGAGGCACCCCUUGGGUUAAAACUCUUAGAAUAUUUUGUGCAUCAUUCAAGGGUCAAUCUGCAACGGCUACUUAAAACUCUCAUAUAUGAA